UAAGCUAUUGCGAUUCAUUCCCUCCACACAUUCAUAUUUGCCUUAUCCUGAAGAGAGUUACGUUUAUUCUGAUCUUACCUCUAAACAGAAAAAACAACCAUGCCUUGAUGAGCUUUCUCACUCUCAAUUAAAACUCCAUAAUUGGUGUCACCACCACCAUCAUCACCAUCAUCAUCAUCAUUAUUAUUACAAUUGAACAUAUAUUGCAGUGAUCAUCAUUAUUAUUCAUGGCUAGCAAACUAGCUUUCACGUUAACACACCCUCGUCCAUGCACUACUGCAGCUAGUUCUUCUACUAUUACCCCAACACCUUUGCUUCCUAUAUCAUCCUUGUCUUACCCUUCUGGUGGACACUUGAUUCAGUUCAAUGGCCGCCAUUUAUGCCUUCGUCGAAGGAUAUUUUUGCUGUCCCCUAAGGCCACUGCGGAUCAACAACAACAAGGAAAGGUUGGAGACUUCGAAAAAGAGGUUGUUGAUUCUAAAAUCCUCCCUUAUUGUAGCAUAGAUAAAAAAGAGAAGAAAUCAGUUGGUGAAAUGGAGCAAGAGUUUCUUCAGGCACUGCAGGCAUUCUAUUAUGAGGGGAAGGCUAUUAUGUCAAAUGAAGAAUUUGAUAAUCUAAAGGAAGAACUCAUGUGGGAAGGAAGCAGCGUUGUUAUGCUAAGUUCUGAUGAACAGAAGUUUCUGGAAGCUUCUAUGGCUUAUGUGUCGGGAAAUCCAAUUAUGAGUGACAAAGAGUACGAUGAAUUGAAAAUGAAGCUAAAGAUGGAAGGGAGUGACAUCGUGGUUGAGGGUCCAAGAUGCAGUCUUCGUAGUAGAAAGGUUUACAGUGACCUCUCUGUAGAUUAUCUAAAGAUGCUCCUAUUGAACGUCCCUGCUACUGUGAUCGCAUUAGGAUUGUUCUUCUUCCUUGAUGAUUUGACUGGAUUUGAGAUCACAUAUCUCCUAGAGCUGCCAGAGCCUUUCAGUUUCAUUUUCACUUGGUUUGCUGCUGUUCCCCUUCUUGUGUGGCUAGCUCAGUCACUAACAAGUGCUAUUGUCAAAGAUUUUGUGAUUCUUAAGGGACCUUGCCCAAACUGUGGUGCUGAAAACACUUCCUUUUUUGGGACUAUACUAUCAGUUUCAAGUGGAGGAAAAGUCAACAAUGUCAAAUGCUCUGAAUGUGGCACUGAAAUGGUAUUUGAUUCAAGUACAAGAUUGAUUACAUUGCCGGAAGGCAGUAACGCCUAAGUUUGAGAGGGAUGCUUGAAACAAGUGGUCAAUGGUUCCAGCAAUGUGAGAUCAUUGAUAAGAGUGUAAUGAAAGUGACUAAUUUAUGAAAUUAGCACAUGAUGAUCCACGGAAGGCCAUCAUGGAGUCAUGCUUCUCAUUGUCACAAACAACAAUUGUGAUCAAACUGAAACUGUUGUUUUAUGCCACAAUGUCCUACUUAAUUUCUAUGCACCAGGAAGGAACUUUACAUAGCCAGGAACAUCAAGAAGGAUGUGACAAUAUACAAAUAUUUUUAGCUAAUUCAAAAUAUAUAUUAUUUCAUCUUUUCCAAUUAAUUGAAAGACUUGAGAGGCUGAACAGGACACUAAUUGUAAUUAAACAUUUUUUAUGCUUUUUUCUCUUUUAAUUUAGUCAAGCAUUUUAUCA